rnacentral:rRNA from 1 species
UACGAAGGGGGCUAGCGUUGCCCGGAAUCACUGGGCGUAAAGCGCACGUAGGCGGAUAUUUAAGUCGGUGGUGAAAUCCUGGAGCUCAACUCCAGAACUGCCUCCGAUACUGAAUGUCUUCGAGUCCGGGAGAGGUGAGUGGAACUGCGAGUGUAGAGGUGAAAUUCGUAGAUAUUCGCAAGAACACCAGUGGCGAAGGCGGCUCACUGGCCCGGUACUGACGCUGAGGUGCGAAAGCGUGGGGAGCAAACAGG